GAUGAACGCUGGCGGCGUGCCUAAUACAUGCAAGUCGAGCGAACAGACGAGGAGCUUGCUCCUCUGACGUUAGCGGCGGACGGGUGAGUAACACGUGGAUAACCUACCUAUAAGACUGGGAUAACUUCGGGAAACCGGAGCUAAUACCGGAUAAUAUAUUGAACCGCAUGGUUCAAUAGUGAAAUACGGUUUUGCUGUCACUUAUAGAUGGAUCCGCGCCGCAUUAGCUAGUUGGUAAGGUAACGGCUUACCAAGGCAAUGAUGCGUAGCCGACCUGAGAGGGUGAUCGGCCACACUGGAACUGAGACACGGUCCAGACUCCUACGGGAGGCAGCAGUAGGGAAUCUUCCGCAAUGGGCGAAAGCUUGACGGAGCAACGCCGCGUGAGUGAUGAAGGUCUUCGGAUCGUAAAACUCUGUUAUUAGGGAAGAACAAAUGUGUAAGUAACUAUGCACGUCUUGACGGUACCUAAUCAGAAAGCCACGGCUAACUACGUG
rnacentral:rRNA from 1 species